rnacentral:lncRNA from 1 species
UUUGCAGCUGAGGAGAUCUCCUCUAUGGUUCUCAUCAAGAUGCGUGAGAUCGCUGAAGCUUACCUUGGCAGCACGAUCAAGAAUGCUGUUGUCACAGUCCCUGCCUACUUCAACGACUCACAGAGGCAGGCCACAAAGGAUGCUGGGGUGAUUGCUGGCCUCAACGUCCUCCGUAUCAUCAAUGAGCCAACUGCUGCUGCUAUCGCCUAUGGUCUUGACAAGAAGGCAACCAGUGUUGGCGAGAAGAAUGUCCUCAUCUUUGACCUUGGAGGUGGUACCUUCGAUGUCUCCCUCCUCACCAUUGAGGAAGGCAUCUUUGAGGUCAAGGCCACAGCUGGUGACACCCAUCUGGGUGGUGAGGACUUUGACAACAGGAUGGUGAACCACUUCGUCCAGGAGUUCAAGAGGAAGAACAAGAAGGACAUCACUGGCAACCCGAGGGCUCUCAGGAGGCUGAGGACUGCUUGUGAGAGGGCGAAGAGGACUCUAUCUUCCACUGCUCAGACCACCAUUGAGAUCGACUCUCUGUACGAGGGCAUCGACUUCUACUCCACCAUCACCCGUGCCAGGUUUGAGGAGCUCAACAUGGACCUGUUCAGGAAGUGCAUGGAGCCCGUGGAGAAGUGCCUGAGGGAUGCCAAGAUGGACAAGAGCAGCGUGCACGACGUUGUCCUUGUUGGUGGCUCCACCCGUAUCCCCAGGGUGCAGCAGCUGCUCCAGGACUUCUUCAACGGCAAGGAGCUGUGCAAGAACAUCAACCCCGAUGAGGCCGUCGCCUACGGUGCCGCUGUCCAGGCCGCCAUCCUGAGCGGCGAGGGCAACGAGAAGGUGCAGGACCUGCUUCUGCUGGACGUCACCCCUCUCUCCCUUGGCCUGGAGACCGCCGGAGGAGUGAUGACCGUGCUGAUCCCGAGGAACACCACCAUCCCCACCAAGAAGGAGCAGGUGUUCUCCACCUACUCGGACAACCAGCCUGGUGUCCUGAUCCAGGUGUACGAGGGCGAGAGGACACGGACCCGCGACAACAACCUGCUGGGCAAGUUCGAGCUCUCCGGCAUCCCCCCUGCGCCCCGUGGUGUGCCCCAGAUCACGGUGUGCUUCGACAUCGACGCCAACGGCAUCCUGAACGUCUCGGCCGAGGACAAGACGACCGGGCAGAAGAACAAGAUCACCAUCACCAACGACAAGGGCCGUCUGUCCAAGGAGGAGAUCGAGAAGAUGGUGCAGGACGCGGAGAAGUACAAGUCGGAGGACGAGGAGCACAAGAAGAAGGUGGAGGCCAAGAACUCGCUGGAGAACUACGCCUACAACAUGCGCAACACGAUCAAGGACGAGAAGAUCGCGUCCAAGCUGGCCGGCGACGACAAGAAGAAGAUCGAGGACGCCAUCGACGCGGCCAUCUCGUGGCUGGACGCCAACCAGCUCGCCGAGGCGGACGAGUUCGAGGACAAGAUGAAGGAGCUCGAGUCGCUGUGCAACCCCAUCAUCGCCAAGAUGUACCAGGGCGCGGGCGCCGACAUGGGCGGCGCCGGCGGCAUGGACGAGGACGCACCCGCGGGCAGCGGCGGCCCUGGCCCCAAGAU